GAUGAACGCUAGCUACAGGCUUAACACAUGCCAGUCGAGGGGAAACGACAUCGAAAGCUUGCUUUUGAUGGGCGUCGACCGGCGCACGGGUGAGUAACGCGUAUCCAACCUGCCCAUCACUUGGGAAUAACCUUGCGAAAGUAAGACUAAUACCCAAUGACAUCCCACGAAGACAUCUGAAUGGGAUUAAAGAUUUAUCGGUAAUGGAUGGGGAUGCGUCUGAUUAGCUUGUUGGCGGGGUAACGGCACACCAAGGCAACGAUCAGUAGGGGUUCUGAGAGGAAGGUCCCCCACAUUGGAACUGAGACACGGUCCAAACUCCUACGGGAGGCAGCAGUGAGGAAUAUUGGUCAAGGGGCGAGAGCCUGAACCAGCCAAGUAGCGUGCAGGAGGACGGCCCUAUGGGUUGUAAACUGCUUUUAUAAGGGAAUAAAGUGGGUCUCGUGAGACUUUUUGCAUGUACCUUAUGAAUAAGGACCGGCUAAUUCCGUG
rnacentral:rRNA from 1 species